rnacentral:misc_RNA from 1 species
UUUUUUUCUUUUACCCAUGUUUGGCCAAGGGUGAAUACAACUACACAGAUGGAGCUAUAUGUAUCAUGGAAAUUUCUUGAAAGUCGUGUUACAAAUAAUUCUUACAAAAUUGAAGUGCUUUUAAAUGUUUAACCAUAGAAUAAACCUUCUUUUACCAAUUAUUAAGAAGAUCAAAAUAUUACAAUCUGUUUAUAUAGUAUGUUAUGAAAGAAAACUGAGCUUAAAUUUCAACAUAGCAAAACUAAGUAAUAGCAUGCAAUCUAGUUAUAUGCCCCUUUUGGUUUAGUGAUAAUCUUUUAUGGUGCUAAGCAGAAAGAGGAAG